rnacentral:lncRNA from 1 species
GGAAGGCACAAAGGGAAAAGCCGUUUGCUUCUAUGUGCAUGGAUGGGCCUCGACAGACACCUCAGGAGAAAACAGAGCCAAGGGUCCAAAAUCCAGGCAGACAAUGACAGAGAGGAAAUUACAAAAUGAAGUCACCUUUGGAGCCUCGCAGAGCUAGGCAACUAAAUGUUUCAGAUUUAGUCCAUGGUUGCCUGGCCCUGGCUUGUGCAGAACCCUGUAGCAGUGGGGAUCCGUGACGAGAACCUUCUUGAUCACACGGCGGACAGAAAGCAGACAGAACAAUGAAGAGGAACCAGACAUGCCUGGGAUGUGGCUCUUAGGACAUUCUUCCAGGCCAGUCAGAGCUACUUUCUCGACAAAAGGGCAGAAGAGGACUAGGAAGAUGGCUCAAGCUUGACAACCUGAGUUCAGAUGCCCAGAAACCGCUAAAGCUGGAUGUCGGAGCAUGUGUCUACAACUGCCGUGUUCCCAAGGCAGCACCAAAACAUCUGGAGUUAGAAGAAACAGGACACAUAGGCGGCAUCUCACAGGACGCAUAGGCGGAAUCUCACAUGUCCCAACUGAGUUCCUGGAGAGACACUGAUUCAGAAGCGAGACAAGGUCUACUGUGAACUCCACAGCUCUGCAGUGGACUCGAGACCUGAGGAAAUGGAGUGUUUGUAUGCGGCUUUGCAUUCCAGAAUGGGGCACAGCCAUGUUCAUGGGGAGCAGCAGCUUGCAGAUGCUGGCAAGAUUCCUGAGUAUCCAACACAGUUCACCUGAGAGGAAAACACAAUGUUUCUUCAGUCGUCAAGCAGCAGAAAGGGAGCACAUUAACCCCGCAUCCUUUCGGUAAUUUGGGAAGUAAAUCUGAGUUACACUGUCCAAUGCAUGUGGGGCUUUGUCAUGGCAAAUACAUAGGUCAGUGCCGCCUGGCAUUUAUCCACUGCCAUUUUCUCUUCCCACAUUUUAUUAUUAUGGUAUCUAUGAAAAGAUCCCCUGCACCACAAGGAAAGAGUGAAAAAUGGCCACCAAACAGCAUUUUUUGUAGCAUAAAUACGUGGUGUAGAAAUAAAUGUGUAACCAUCUAUACAUUCAUUAUUGCAAUGAAUAUGUGGAAGAAGUUUCAGACCAGAAGGGCACAAUUCCAGCCAUCCCCCUCUCCGGGCCCCAUUUGUCAUAGAGAAAUUCUCUUCCUAGGGGACUGUAUCACAAAGCUUGGUGACUUUUAAAGGAUAGACAGAUGCUGUGGUGCAGCCCCAAGCUUCCUCCACUUGUUCUCUUUGUGAAUUGAGUUGGAUUAUGUCAUUUCCUCCCAUGACCCAUAAUGAAGCCUGAAGAGUAAUGACCCUGAGAUGUGGCAUAGCUGAAAUGGCUUCUGCAGUGCCAGAAAAAGAUGAUUCACACUUGGCGUAGGAGCUGUUUCUAGAAACUGCCAGAGCAAAGGGCAGAGGUAACUCACCAAGAAGCUCUGUCAUCUUGCAACCCUCUUUGGAGGCAGUGGCAUGCUGCUGAAUAUAAACACAUUAGCU